GAUGAACGCUGGCGGCGUGCCUAAUACAUACAAGUCGAGCGAACAGACGAGGAGCUUGCUCCUCUGACGUUAGCGGCGGACGGGUGAGUAACACGUGGAUAACCUACCUAUAAGACUGGGAUAACUUCGGGAAACCGGAGCUAAUACCGGAUAACAUGUUGAACCGCAUGGUUCAACAGUGAAAGACGGUCUUGCUGUCGCUUAUAGAUGGAUCCGCGCCGCAUUAGCUAGUUGGUAAGGUAACGGCUUACCAAGGCAACGAUGCGUAGCCGACCUGAGAGGGUGAUCGGCCACACUGGAACUGAGACACGGUCCAGACUCCUACGGGAGGCAGCAGUAGGGAAUCUUCCGCAAUGGGCGAAAGCCUGACGGAGCAACGCCGCGUGAGUGAAGAAGGUCUUCGGAUCGUAAAACUCUGUUAUUAGGGAAGAACAAAUGUGUAAGUAACUAUGCACGUCUUGACGGUACCUAAUCAGAAAGCCACGGCUAACUACGUG
rnacentral:rRNA from 1 species